rnacentral:lncRNA from 1 species
UUGACGGUAGAGUUUUUUGAUCACCCUGUGUUAUAAUUUCUUAUAUACGGUAAAUUUUAUCUUCCUAUUAUUUUUUAUUUUAGUUCAGAAAGUAUCUUUUUUAUUGCAGUGUGUUAUAGCCGUUUGUGUUUAGUUUUACAAACAAUCUUCAACGUUAUCCAGUUCUUGUUGGUUAAUGAGGAGAUCAUCCGGAUAAGUAUAAAAACGAGAUAAAUUAUUUCCUAUUUCUGUCUUUAUCAAUUGUACUUGGAUCGCUCGGACAUUAACCGGAUUUCGCACAUUACCCAUAACAUAUAUAUUUAUAUAAAAUAUAAAUUGGUUUAUCAUUUUGUCAUAUUGACAGUUUCGAAUAUUCUUUCUUUGAGAUGGAAAUAUCUCUCUAUAAUUCUGUCUUUAUUCAUGUGUUAUGGUGGCUAAAACUUAAGAUAAUAGUUUGUAAUUCUGGAAAUUUUAUUAUUAUGAAAUUGGAUAUAAACUCAAUUUAUCUUUAUAUAUGGAGUUUAUCGCACCACCAUUACCUCACUUUUUUUUCUCGGAAAUGCGAAGAAAUAGGAAGUAGGGAAAAAUUUUAAUGACCGAAUAUAUUCGUAGAAUCGAAUGGUCACAAUAAAAA